rnacentral:lncRNA from 1 species
GGGUGUUGCAGUGCGGCGGGAGAAGCUGCGCGGGGUGAUUCCCUCAGCUGAUGGCCGGGGAGUUGCAAAAAUGGACAUUAAAUGAAGCUACUCGUUGCGAUAGGUUGGGAUCACAAACAUCCCGUUACCUCAUCUCAGCUAAAGGCGUCUGUGGAAAUGCUCUGUCACUGUAAUAACGAGUGAACUCUGUGGCUUCGUUGGCUGAAGCAGUGCCUAAAGGUUUAAAACUUUCAGCCUUAUAUUUAAGUGUAUUUCUGAAGGGUUCUUCACCAGUGGUAGAAGGGCAAUGUGAGCAGCCAUGAAUAGCACAUAAAUAGAAAGCACAGGAGCUGUACCAGGACAGCAACGUUAAAACCGCCUUCAGCAGGAGGGCUUCGCAAGAACCAGCAGAGAGGAGCAUAAGCAAUGUUGGUAACUCCAAUGAUGACCAUCAGCCAGGGAAACCCAAUAGCUCGUACGAUCGCGCCGCCUGUUGAUGGACCUGCACAUUGAAACAUGAACAAAGGCUCAGGAGGCAGGAAAAGAGCAAAAGGUGCUCUUCUACUUUGGAGGGGGUCUGAAGUCUGCAGUGGCUGUCCUACAGACUCAGUUCCAGUUGCUGCCAUUAAACACUGGGUGGAAGAACACAUUGAGAACAUCACCCCAUACCAAUUGCAAAGCCCAUGCAGAAGGCAACAUCUGCGAUGGCAUAGACAUUGCCGUAGACAGAGGUGUGGCGAAGGUCCACGAGGUAACCCAUAAUAGGCAUCAUGGAGGAGUCCACCAUUCCUGCCCAGAGCAAGCACGAUAUCAUGAGGUAUUGCCUUUUCCCAGAGCAGUGCUGGGAAUUGUACAGACUGACCACUUACCUAUGGCGAAGCCAAGCCCACCAUUUGGGCCAAUCAGCCCAUAAAUAUUUUUUGCCAGAGGUACCUUAGAGAGGAAAGAGAGAAGGUGUGAAUGAGGCCAGAAGAGCUCCAAGGUGAGGAGGCACAGCAUAGUUCUGUGAGAAAGGUCUGUGGUGCCAUCCCUGAGCAGGUCUCAGAGCUGCCCUGCAGUACUCACACAGAGCAGACUGAUCCCCACCACAGCCAUACCGAUCAGGGAGCACAGCCACCUGCAAGGAGGGCAGCAGAGGGUGAUGCCUUCAGCAUAUGCAAGCAGGAUCCUUGCUGUGGUCGCUGCUGUUCGCUUACCGGCCUAUUUUGUUAGCCAGGAGCCCGAAGAGAUUGGUUCCAAUGAGUGAAAAGCACAUUGUAUAGCUACCAACAAGGACAUUUCCUGCUGAAACCGGAGCAGCACACAGCCUGGCAUCACUCUGUGGGAAUAUGUUUUCUUCCUUUUAAGAUGAUAUAAGAGAUAUUCAGCCCAUCCCGCAGUGCCCAGCAGGAUCCACUCUGGCCAAACUGCAUCAAGCUACUGCUGAGGAGCACGGACUGCAAAGUGAAGCACCUACCAAGCUGCCAUUUGGGGGAGCACAUGGUUUGCAUCAUCCAGAUGGGCAAGGUGGGCUCGAGCAUGGCCACCCCCAUGUUGGAGAAGCAGAGGGCUCCUGGUGAGGAGAGAAGGGAAAGUGUCUGUUUAAGGCUUCUCCUACUGCUGUGUUGAGUAGGAACAAGGAAAUGGGGCAAUUGGGAACGCAGAGGUUACCUGCAGCCACCAGCACAUAGGGGUCCCGCAGCAGGGUGAGCACUGGUGUGCCUCUGGUGCUCUGCUUGAGAUGGGGGCUUAGGGAGCUGCAGGUGGGGGCUGAGCCACCCCCACCUGCAGCAUCUGCCCCAGCAUCGUGCCCAUACUCACCUCAGGGGAGACCUUGGAGGGCUGCAGAAUGCACAGCUGCAAACCUGGGGAGGGGGGGGGAACAGUGCUGUCAGUAUUGCUCCAAGCCAAAUUUCCCUGUGGCUUUUCCUUCAGGGGGGCACCAAUCAUUGGCAGAGCCCCAAGAAUGCAAAGCUGUGCUGUUGGGGCAUCAUCCAGGGAGCUGUCAGCUGCGGGAUUUCAAAUGGGGCAUGGCCAAAAUGAGACAUGGAAAAGAAUGGGAUGAAAAAAAACAAGCUUCAAACACAG